GCCACCUGGAAGAGGAUUAAAGGGAUUUUCAAUCUGAGGAGGAGGUAAAACAAGGUGAUGUCUGGCCACCUGGAAGAGGAUUAAAGGGAUUUUCAAUCUGAGGAGGAGGUAAGACAAGGUGAUGUCUGGCCACCUGGAAGAGGAUUAAAGGGAUUUUCAAUCUGAGGAGGAGGUAAGACAAGGUGAUGUCUGGCCACCUGGAAGAGGAUUAAAGGGAUUUUCAAUCUGAGGAGGAGGUAAGACAAGGUGAUGUCUGGCCACCUGGAAGAGGAUUAAAGGGAUUUUCAAUCUGAGGAGGAGGUAAGACAAGGUGAUGUCUGGCCACCUGGAAGAGGAUUAAAGGGAUUUUCAAUCUGAGGAGGAGGUAAGACAAGGUGAUGUCUGGCCACCUGGAAGAGGAUUAAAGGGAUUUUCAAUCUGAGGAGGAGGUAAAACAAGGUGAUGUCUGGCCACCUGGAAGAGGAUUAAAGGAGGCAAAAAUGAUUUUUCUAAAGGAUUGUUUAGGGAUUACAGAAACAGAGAGAGAGAGGACAGUAGAGAUAUGAGCUUUGUGUGUUUUAGUAAUUUGUCUAGAAUGGUUUCACUGUUAUACAGUACAGAUCCCCGAGCAAACAUAGCACAUGUGUACUAUGAUCAAUAGUAGUAGUAUUGAAUACACACAAGGGCACAGUAG